GAGAAGAGGGUCACAGAUGUCAGGUGGCUCCCCUCUGGGCCUCAGUUUCCCCAUCUGUAUAAGGGGAAGGCGGCCCACCUCUGGCACCCAUAAGGAGCGGAGAGUCCCUUUCCGGGAAUGGCUUCGAGCCCAGGAGGAUUAUCUGCCGUCAGAGUUCCCGGGAAUGCCUGGGGCCUGGUCCCCCCUGAGCCUCCAGCACACCCGGACCCAGGAGGGCUUGCGCUCUCCAAGCCUGGGGGCUGCAGCCGGAUGCCAGCGAGCCGCGAGGUCCCAGGAAGUUGGAGCGAAUUGGUUUCUUUGGUCCGUUUUUGUGUCUGAUUUCAUGCAUUACAGACCACCGUUGUGAGGCCGGAUCCCAGGGCCCCCCAGGGGUCCGGGACACCCCAGAUCUAGAACAUGGGGCCAAUUCUAAUAAGACGAAAUGUAAAGUCUUACACAAGGAUUUCAAAAGCCUAGUUGCAAGUCUGGGAUGAUUGGGCAACGAGCCUUUCUGAAGAGGAUCGGAGGGAGCUUAGUGGCCUGCAAGCUCAGUGGGAGUCAGGAAAGUGAUGAUGCGGCCAAUAAAGCGGAUGCAGAACGAGAAAGAUGGCGUCUGCUACGAGGGGAGUUGGUUUCCUUGCCCACAGACAGAAUGGACACUGAUAAAUCAGGGAGUGUCCAGAGGAGAGCAACCAAGGAUGGGGAAGGGUCCUGAGUCUCUGCAUCUUGGAGUAAUAAUAAUAGCUAGAAUUUACAUAGACUUUAAAGUCUGCAAAGAGUUUUAUGACCUCAUUUGUUCCUCACAACAAUCCUGAGGACUAGGAGCUAUUAUAAGCUCUAUUUUAUAGAAAAUAUAAACUGAGGCAGACGGCAGUGACGUGACUUGCCAAGAGUCACACACGUCUUAACCUUGGUGAGGCAGGACUUGAAUCCAGGUUUUCUCAGCUUGAAGCCAGUCCUUUACUCACUACUAGCACAGUGGGCAAACCAACGGGCCUGAAGCCAAGAGGUCCUGGCUUCAAAUCCCACUUUAGCCACUUUACUAGCUCUGUGACCCUGAGCAAGUUACUCAAUUUGCCUCAGUUUCUGCAUCUGUAAAAUGGGAAUACUCUCUCCCAGGAUUGUUGUGAGGGUCACAUGAGAUUAUACUUGUAAGGCACUUAGCCCAGCCUGGCUGGUGAUGGUUGUUGUUACUCCACAGUGUAUGAAAUAAAUCCCUGUCACUUUUGAUGAGGAUUAUCCUCUAAGCCUCAGUUUCCUGGGCUGUCACAGGCCAACUUGGAACCCGACUGUGACCGUUCAGCGCAGCUUUACAACGCAGACGCCCACGAGUGCCUCAGGUCGGGGUCUGGCUGUUUCACUGAUUUUCUAGACUCAAGACAGUGUUAACAACAGGUUAAACUUCAGACAGCUGGUUGUUAAAUAUUUACCGGCACGGCCCUGUCUACAAACACCUCCUCUGUAGGAGCGUGAGGAGGAAGGACCUCUGCAGACCUGGGAGGGAGUCAUCGGGGCAGAUCCCGGCUCUUCCUUCCUGGGCUGGCUGGGGCCCGUCACCCCCCGCCUGGCUCCAGGAGGGCGCUCAUGAUGGGAAUGACACCAGGCCAGGUUUCCCGGUGACCAGGAAGCCUUUCUAAGAGGAACUCGAGGCCCAGGGAGCACAGCAGGAAUGUGACCUCAAGACCAGCACCUCCAGAGCCAGACCUGCCCCCCGAGCUCCUCCCAAAGGCCAGGCCCGAGGCAUCAUGCGGCCCAGCACGCAACAGUGUCUGGCACAGAGCAGGCACUCAAUAAAUGCUUUCUGACUGAC